rnacentral:piRNA from 1 species
UAGGUACCCUGAUAUGAUCAA